CCUCACUCCCGGGGCGUCUCGUUCUCAUCACUAGUGUAUACGCACCAGGAGCGCACACGCUGGUGCCCGAAAGAUGAUGAACUAUGCCUGGCCAGGACCAAUCCACGGGAAACCCUGGUGGAGGUCCGAAGCGAUUCUCACUUGCAAAUCGAUCGUCUGAGCUGGGUAUAGGGGCGAAAGACCAAUCUAACCAUCUAGUAGCUGGUUCCCUCUGAAGUUUCCCUCAGGAUAGCUGGCUCUCGGGAAGAGACAAGUCUCAUCCGGUAGAGCGAAUGAUUAGAGGUGAUGGGGUCGAAACGACUUCAACCUAUUCUCAAACUCCCAAUAGAUGAGAGCCCAGGCUUGCUUAAAAGUGAAGCCGCGGGACUCGGAUCAGAGAUGCCAAGUGUCCCAAUUUUGGUAAGCAGAACUGGCGCUGUGCGAUGAACCAAACGCAGAGUUAAGGCCCCUGAUUCGACCCUCACGUGAAACCAUGAAAGGCGUUGGUUGCUUAAGACAGCAGGACGGUGGCCAUGGAAGUCGG
rnacentral:rRNA from 1 species